rnacentral:rRNA from 2 species
UAAACGACUCUCGGCAACGGAUAUCUCGGCUCUCGCAUCGAUGAAGAACGUAGCGAAAUGCGAUACUUGGUGUGAAUUGCAGAAUCCCGUGAACCAUCGAGUCUUUGAACGCAAGUUGCGCCCGAAGCCUUUUGGCCGAGGGCACGCCUGCCUGGGCGUCACGCA